rnacentral:rRNA from 1 species
UGACGAGUUUGAUCCUGGCUCAGAUUGAACGCUGGCGGAAUGCUUUACACAUGCAAGUCGAACGGUAGAGGGGGCAACCCCUUGAGAGUGGCGAACGGGUGAGUAAUCUAUCGGAACGUGCCCAGUCGUGGGGGAUAACGUAGCGAAAGUUACGCUAAUACCGCAUACGAUCUAAGGAUGAAAGCGGGGACUCGCAAGAGCCUCGCGCGAUUGGAGCGGCCGAUGUCAGAUUAGCUAGUUGGUGGGGUAAAACGCCCGACCAAGGCGACGAUCUGUAGCUGGUCUGAGAGGACGACCAGCCACACUGGAACUGAGACACGGUCCAGACUCCGUACGGGAGGCAGCGAGUGGGGUAAUUUUGGACAAGUGGGCGAAAGCCGUGAUGCAGCGACGCCGCGUGCGGAU